GCGUGUGUGAGCGAGAGCGAUUGAUUGAGUGAAUGUUUGUGUGUGUUGUUUUUUGUUUAAUGUAAAAUCCUACACACUGAUCUUAUUUGAUCCGGCCAGAGUUUGGCUCUGCUCCGGCUGGAGAUGAUAGGAAAAGCGCUCGCGAGCCCCCGUGGCCAUGAGACGCCGGCGACGAAAAGCUAAAGGGCUACCACGCUUCGUGCUGUGGUCAGAAGUGAUGAAUUGAUCAGAUAUACUAGUUCUUUGUGAGCUUGUGGUUCGCCUCAGGUUUCACGCUGGACGAUGAGUACAGAAGCGAUUCUGAUCUAA